rnacentral:rRNA from 1 species
GAUGAACGCUGGCGGCGUGCCUAAUACAUGCAAGUCGAGCGAAUGGAUUAAGAGCUUGCUCUUAUGAAGUUAGCGGCGGACGGGUGAGUAACACGUGGGUAACCUGCCCAUAAGACUGGGAUAACUCCGGGAAACCGGGGCUAAUACCGGAUAACAUUUUGAACCGCAUGGUUCGAAAUUGAAAGGCGGCUUCGGCUGUCACUUAUGGAUGGACCCGCGUCGCAUUAGCUAGUUGGUGAGGUAACGGCUCACCAAGGCAACGAUGCGUAGCCGACCUGAGAGGGUGAUCGGCCACACGUGGACUGAGACACGGCCAAGACUCCUACGGGAGGCAGCAGUAGGGAAUCUUCCGCAAUGGACGAAAGUCUGACGGAGCAACGCCGCGUGAGUGAUGAAGGCUUUCGGGUCGUAAAACUCUGUUGUUAGGGAAGAACAAGUGCUAGUUGAAUAAGCUGGCACCUUGACGGUACCUAACCAAAAAGCCACGGCUAACUACGUGCCAGCCGCCGCGGUAA